UUUUCUUGAAGCAAAAAGCCUUGGGAUCAUGCACUGCAUGCCAAGCACUGUUCAGUGAAGUGGUAGCGCAUGGAGGAAGCAAGUCUCAACGGAGAAAGUAACCAUCUACUCAAGGGAAAUGACGGUCCCAGCGUGUGGAGGAAGAUGGUGAAGAAAAUAAUCUGAAGAUUUUUGAGGAGAGAGGGCCCGGGUUUUCACUGUGUUGUGGCAUCAGCUGGGAUAAACAACCAUUUGGACUUCUGCAUUUUAAACUCCAGGCACAACCUGAAACCCAAAGGGGAACUUCUCCAAGGCACUUGCAGACAGCCUGGACACCCCGUAUAGAUGUGACACUUCACUGAACUUCUGAGCAAGCUACAGACUAGGUAUUAUCCUGAAUCUCUAGACAACACGAGGGAAG